ACAUACAGAAAACUUAUAUAGAAUUAGUUUUGUUAUGUAUAUAACAGUAGUGAGACUUUCAUCGUCAGUCAUGUUCUCAGAUGGACUGUGCUGGUGACGUGGUCGAUCUCUACCAGACGAUGAAGAGACAAUGACGCUGAGUCCAAUCACCGCUGCAGUUAAAAAAAACACGUUUAAGCCCUCUUUAAAUAAGAGAAAAGUAUACCUAAUAAAAUACUAGAUAUGGAGUCUUGAUUUCUGUCACAAUCAAUUAUUUUUUGUAUUAUCUCAAAACAAAAUUUGUGUAACCACACAUAUAAGAUUGAAUUGUUGUUUUUGAAAAAUCAUAUUAGGAUAUAAAGAGAUAUUCAGUCAUUGAUUUGUUACCCGUGUAUUCUCCAAUAACUGAAAACAAUAUUUUUUGUGAAACUAAUGGCGGCUACAAUGAAGCACAUGUCGGCUAAUUUCUCCAAACUUGAUAAGUUUGAAGGAGUGGAAGUUUGAAGAUGGCAAAAGAAGAUGCAUUUCUUUUUCACCGACAUAAACGUGGUUUAUGCGUUGAGCGCUUCGUGUCGUGAAGAUAAUGCUAUUCUUGAAACGAAUACGGAAAAGGAGCAAAUGGGAAAAUGACAACUACAUUGCUCGAGGUUUAUUUCUCAACGGAUGAUUAUGUUAUAUGGCGGGUUGACCCUGGUGUUAAUACCCCUCUUCCGAACAAGGAGUGCUCAACACAUAAAUUACGUUCAUGUUGGUGAGGAAGAAAUGUAUCUUUUUUUUGCCGUCUUCGAAAAUAUAUUUCUGCAAACUUAUAAAGUUUGGAGAAAUUAGCCGUCAUGUGCUUCAUUGUAGCCGCCAUUGAUUUCACAAAAAAUGUUGUAUUUGAUUGUUAGAAAAUUUUAAUUGAGUAACCGUGUUACACGGGUAAGAAACCAA